UAGUCNCGCUGUAAACGAUGAAUGUUAAAUAUGGGAAGUUUACUUUCUGUAUUAUAGCUAACGCGUUAAACAUUCCGCCUGGGGACUACGGUCGCAAGAUUAAAACUCAAAGGAAUUGACGGGGACCCGCACAAGCGGUGGAGCAUGUGGUUUAAUUCGAUGCAACGCGAAAANCCUUACCACUCCUUGACAUGGAAAUUAUACCUAUUUGAAGGGAUAGGGUCGGUUCGGCCGGAUUUCACACAGGUGUUGCAUGGCUGUCGUCAGCUCGUGUCGUGAGAUGUUGGGUUAAGUCCCGCAACGAGCGCAACCCUCAUCCUUAGUUACCAUCAGGUAAUGCUGGGGACUUUAAGGAAACUGCCAGUGAUAAACUGGAGGAAGGUGGGGAUGAUGUCAAGUCAUCAUGGCCCUUAUGGAGUGGGCUACACACGUGCUACAAUGGUGGCUACAAUGGGCUGCAAAGUCGCGAGGCUAAGCUAAUCCCUUAAAAGCCAUCUCAGUUCGGAUUGUACUCUGCAACUCGAGUGCAUGAAGUUGGAAUCGCUAGUAAUCGUGGAUCAGCACGCCACGGUGAAUACGUUCUCGGGUCUUGUACACACUGCCCGNCA
rnacentral:rRNA from 2 species